UUUCCCAAACCUAUUGCCGCAUCAAAUUUCCCCACCCAAUCUCCCUCCCCAAGUUUAAAAUUUUCCGUUUUCAGAAUAGGUCAUGUUCCCGCUUCCCCCAAACUAGUUCUCGAGUUGAGGUGUUUUGGUUCUCAGAUCUAAGGUGUCUUCAAUAUAUAGGUUCUUGGCGUUCCAACAACCCCUUGACUUGUAGUAGGUUUGCCUCUCUUUCUCUUCUGCUUAGAUGAGUUUACCCUCUUUGUCCCUUCACCACCAAAACCUACGGCUCAUCACCACCAACCAGCGGCUAAUCAACAACCCCUCGAUUUCUCUGUUCAGGUGCAGGUUUGAAGAUGCACGCCAAGUGCUUGAUGAAACGCUACAACCAAACUCACUUUUGUUUCACAUUAUUUUUUUACAAGAUAAGUGUAUAUUUAUCUUAGUUUUAAUUGUGUUGAUGUAUAGGAAUUGUGUGUCUUUUGAUCUGAUAGCUUGUUAAUAUUUAGUUUUCUAUUUAGCAUAAUUAUUGUCCAUGGAACUGGUAGGAUAUUGAAAAAUCUUGAAUGUUCAUGAAUUGUCCGUCGAUAAUCUUUUUUUACCUUUUAAAGUAAUUAUAUUCUCUCUUUUGUUCUUUCUUUUUUUAUUAUUUUAAAUACACUUUUAUGUUGUACAUGACUAACAUGUUUUCUUUAAUGAAUCUGAGUUUUGUUAUUAUCUAGUGUCUAAAAGAUGAGAGGUUUUUAUGCUGGCUAUUGGGGUAUCGAUUACGUCAUUAUUGAUUGCUAAGAAAUCUACUAUUUUAAACGUUGCAAGACUUGUUGCUAUACAAUAUGUAAGCAUUCAAUAGAAGAUAAUACGAUGAAGGUGAAGUUUCAACAUGAAUAAAGUCCAAUAAUGCUAAUAAAGUUAAACUAAGACCCAUCACAAAACAUGAAGCAUAGAAGCCUGUAGAGUCCUACACAUUGACGGAUAAGUCAAUAGAUAUACAAUAGUUGAUGUAUUAUACUCAAUACUAUUUUUUCUAUUAUUUUUAUAUACUUAGUUUUAAGAGAAUACUUGAUGUAUUUAUAUUGUAUAUUAACCUAAUAUUUGUUUGUUCAUA